rnacentral:lncRNA from 1 species
UGUGGCCUUUGGAUGUUGUCUGCUCCAUGGCCGGGUUGUUGUCUUUUAGACACAUACCCCGUUUCAAUUCCCAAUUUUAUUUGUAGACACAUCUAUUCUGGCUAUCCUCUUAUGUCUUUUAGUGUCAACUAGAACGAAAGUAUUUUACUAUUGCCUUCAAAGUGGACACUCACAAUUAUAAUUCAUCAAAUAAAGAUAUGUCCAUAGAUAGUCAUAAGAGGAUCAUAAGACAUGUCCUAAGAUAUAUCUUAUGACAGGUCUCAGGAAUGCUUUGUAAUACCGACUCCUGGACAUUAACUGUCUCAAAAAAGAAAAAAAAAC